UCCCCAGGGGCUCAGACGGUAAAGCGUCUGCCUGCAAUGCGGGAGACCCUGGUUCGAUUCCUGGGUCGGGAA
rnacentral:tRNA from 1 species